rnacentral:rRNA from 1 species
GAUGAACGCUAGCGGGAGGCCUAACACAUGCAAGUCGAACGGGAUUGGGAGCUUGCUCCCAUGAGAGUGGCGCACGGGUGAGUAACGCGUAUGCAACCUACCUUUAACUGAGGGAUAGCCCAUAGAAAUGUGGAUUAAUACCUCAUAGUUCUAUUAGAUCGCAUGAUUUGAUAGAUAAAGCUCCGGCGGUUAAAGAUGGGCAUGCGUGACAUUAGUUUGUUGGUGAGGUAACGGCUCACCAAGACUACGAUGUCUAGGGGUUCUGAGAGGAUGAUCCCCCACACUGGUACUGAGACACGGACCAGACUCCUACGGGAGGCAGCAGUGAGGAAUAUUGGUCAAUGGGCGCAAGCCUGAACCAGCCAUCCCGCGUGAAGGAUGAAGGCCCUAUGGGUCGUAAACUUCUUUUAUACACCAAGAAAAACACCCACGUGUGGGUGCCCGACGGUAGUGUAUGAAUAAGCAUCGGCUAACUCCGUGCCAGCAGCCGCGGUAAUACGGAGGAUGCAAGCGUUAUCCGGAUUCAUUGGGUCUAAAGGGUGCGUAGGCGGCUUUUUAAGUCAGUGGUGAAAUCUUGCCGCUUAACGGUAAAAUUGCCAUUGAUACUGAUAAGCUUGAGUACAAUUGAGGUAAGCGGAAUGUGUAGUGUAGCGGUGAAAUGCUUAGAUAUUACACAGAACACCGAUUGCGAAGGCAGCUUACUAAACUGUUACUGACGCUGAUGCACGAAAGCGUGGGGAGCGAACAGGAUUAGAUACCCUGGUAGUCCACGCCGUAAACGAUGAUCACUCUCGAUUCGAUACACAGUGAGCGGCCAAGCGAAAGCAUUAAGUGAUCCACCUGGGGAGUACGAUCGCAAGGUUG